rnacentral:rRNA from 1 species
UACGAAGGGGGCUAGCGUUGCUCGGAAUCACUGGGCGUAAAGCGCACGUAGGCGGCUUUCUAAGUCAGGGGUGAAAUCCUGGAGCUCAACUCCAGAACUGCCUUUGAUACUGGAGAGCUUGAGUCCGGGAGAGGUGAGUAGAACUCCGAGUGUAGAGGUGAAAUUCGUAGAUAUUCGGAAGAACACCAGUGGCGAAGGCGGCGCACUGGACCAAAACUGACGCUGAGGCGCGAAAGCUAGGGGAGCAAACAGG